rnacentral:rRNA from 1 species
AGAGUUUGAUCAUGGCUCAGAACGAACGCUGGCGGCAUGCCUAACACAUGCAAGUCGAACGAAGCCUUCGGGCUUAGUGGCGCACGGGUGCGUAACGCGUGGGAAUCUGCCCUUGGGUUCGGAAUAACAGUUAGAAAUGACUGCUAAUACCGAAUGAUGUCUUCGGACCAAAGAUUUAUCGCCAGAAGAGGGGCCCGCGUCCGAUUAGGUAGUUGGUGGGGUAAUGGCCUACCAAGCCGACGAUCGGUAGCUGGUCUGAGAGGAUGAUCAGCCACACUGGGACUGAGAUACGGCCCAGACUCCUACGGGAGGCAGCAGUGGGGAAUAUUGGACAAUGGGGGCAACCCUGAUCCAGCAAUGCCGCGUGAGUGAUGAAGGCCUUAGGGUUGUAAAGCUCUUUUGCCAGGGAAGAUGAUGACUGUACCUGGAGAAUAAGCCCCGGCUAACUUCGUG